CGAAUGUCAACUGGGCUGUCAAAUGAUAUACACAGGUUUUAUAAAAUAUUGAGAGCACGAUUUUAAUUUCGUGUUUCAAAUAGCACAAAUAGCGCAAAUCCGCAUUGAUGUAGUGUAAGUGGAAAAAGGAAUUUUUUCACAAAAAACCAAACGGAUGCGAUUAAAUACCAAGAAAUAAACAUAAAUAAAUAAUUGACAGCCCACCAGAGAAGAUGCAAUGGGCAAUACCAGUCCGUAAAGAUUAGCAACUAUGAGACCUAGUGUACCUAAGUAUGUGUGAACUACCAAAGCAGUACCGAAAAGGAAAAACAUUAUGGGCGAACGAAAUCUCGGCCUAGUCUACCAGAGGCCACAAAGACAUGAACUCCGUGUCUCACCUUAAGACGUGAGGUCGAUGAUUGAAGUGAUACGGUGAAGCACAGAUUUGCCACGUAAAAUUUCCACGACAUGAUCAUUUUACAGUUGUGAAUCUUAAUGACAAAAGCUUUGUCCCAGCUAUUAAUCGAAAUGAUAUCCAAAUGGCCCCGUGAGCUUCGUCUGCACAUGUCAGCAAUUAACAUCAAAUCAAUCAGUAACAUCAGUUGAAAUCAACCAAUGAACUCUUCAACUUAUCAUUGUACAACUGUACUAUAAACAUCAACGACUUUGUCAUUGUGAAUUUCAAAAGUAAAACACAAAUUGAUCAACAACAUAGACUCCGAUAAUUCGGAUAUGUAAGCAGGAUCAAAUAAAUACAGCACGAGUUCAACAAUAAAACCAAUGGGAUGAUCCUCGGCCAUAAAUCGAGUCCAUUACGAUAUUAAUGACAAUCGUAACUCUCAAUCACAAGUGGAAUCUGCACGCACCUACAGUACAGCACCGACCUCGCAGUACUUUUGAAUAACGCCAACAAAACAAUGAAUCUCAUCAUUAUUGUUUUAUUCAAAUAAUAUAUAUUAAAGAAUUUUACUUAACAUUGUCAACGUAA